rnacentral:lncRNA from 1 species
GAAGAAGACAAAUUAAGGGCAUAUCACCAACCCCGAAAUUGGUAGAAAAUGUAAAAUUCUAAUUUCUUUACAUGAAUCGACACAAAUGUCAAGAAUAAACCAAAGCUGCAGUUGCCGAAGAUGAAAUUUAAGAAGUUCUAAUUUCACUUUGGCAUAAUCUUCUUUUUAUGAGCCAAAGCCACGUAAAUCUCACCAAUUUCUUGUCCCACUACUAGGAAAACCUAACAUUCGUGCAUCUAGUCGCUCCUGCAAGCUGUUCUAUGGAGAAGUAUCUGAAAAGACAUUUUAUGGAGGUAUGCAUAGGAAUUUCGACUAAUUUUUCAUCAUGUUAAUUUGAUAUUAGAAUUUCCCUUAAUUAAAAAUAUCUAUGGCAUAAAGCACUUAAUGCCAAUAUAUUGAAAUAUAUUGCAGCCAAACUCGAAAAUGAAAUAAAUCAAGUUUGGCAUGCAAGUAUUGAAUGCUUUGGCCAACACUCUACACUUCCAUCCUUAGUCCAAAACAGUUCCUAGUUUUCCAAGAAGAAUACAUUUUGCUUUCAUUAUUUGCGUCCUCCGGCCACAUAACUCUUUCUCUCCCCUCAAAUACCAAAAUGCGAAGCUUUCCAUACCCAAAGAUUCCCAUGCCUUUCUUGGUUGGACCAACCCAAAAUGCCGCAUAAGAUCAUCUUCAAUCAACUUGAUUUCCUUUCUCAUUUGCUUGUCUAUGCGUAGUUCAAGACAAAUUUUGUCUCUUUUUAACGGUUUAAACUUAUAAUAUGAAUUAAAUAUUGAAUAAAACGACACAAAGUUUGGGUUGAAAUCUCACUAGCAGUCACUUUUUAAAAUUGUGAAUGUCUUUUAUUAAAUAAUAGAUAGACCAUGUAAGCAAUGGCGUAUUGUAGAUAAAAAUAAAGAACUUGUCCAAGUGAUGAGCUAGCAAUGGAACUUUACAAAAACGCUGUUUGAAUCUGUGGACAAAUUUGGUGUUCUUCUUUUGUUCUCCCCUCCCCUUUGAACUUAUUGUUUCUAUCGUUUUCCUUUCUAUCAUUUUAGGAACGCAAAAUUGAUAAAUUUCGUCCUCGUUCAUAGAUAAACAUUUCAGAGUGUUGGGAUUGACUCAAAUGAAUAUUGAUACAAAGUUUAGGGACCAAUGAUUUAAAUAGUCAAGGCAUAAUUAAAUGAUAAUGAGACUUGUGGAAUAUGCCUCGUUUGGCUCCCAUUAAAACUCUUCAAUUUAAUUUAAUUUUUCAUCUCUCAUAUUUUCAACCAUACAAUCUUCAAUAAAAUAAUAUUACACUCAAAUCAAAAACUUUUCAACCAUACAAUCUUAAAAAAAAAUUAAUAUUCCUCCAUUAUAAAUUCAACUAAUGGGGGCCAAUUGAGCUCUAUAUAUAACGAAUUAAAUUGAUAUUUUCCAGUAGCAGAAAGUUGAACGAAAAUAAUAAUAAUAAUUAUUAUUUUUGGGGCAAUUAAGGAAGUUAACUACUUAUACUUCCAUUGCAAUUAGAUGACAUUUUUAUGAAAUUCCUCCAUCUACCAAUAUUUUGAAAAUCGACCACAAAGGAAAAGGGUCGAAAGGAUGUUCAACUGAUUCAAACCAAAUCAGAUGCAAUAAGCCCUUGUUUGAGCCCCAUUUUUCCAUCAAAAUACAUUAUUUAACAGUGAUUUGACACUAUUUCAACAACACAUUAUCUAUAGUUUCUUUAUUUUUUAAUCACACAUUUCCCAUCAAUAUACUAUUCAAAAGUGUAUUUUUGACAAGAUUGAGGCUCAAACAAGGGAAUAAAUAAAUAAAUACACGCAUAAAUAAUAAAAUAGAUAACAGCAAUAGUAAUUUUAAUUUUCACACUUCUAAUUCAAAGUAAAUACAAAUUCACUUUUGUUAAUUGGACUCACUAUUCUAUAGUUAGUCAUAACACUUCAAGAACUAGCAAUCAAUAUAUGAAAACGAUCUACCUGUUUAAAAUUGGAAUCUUUAGAGCUCAUAGAAAAUGAUGUCUAACAUUAUUAUGCUAAUAAUGAAAUGCAAUUUAAGUCAAAAUUUAAAAAUUAAAAAUAAAUAAAAAGAUUGAAAGUGAAUGAGGCAGACAUUUGGAAAAUGAACUUUUUUGGGUGUCCCACGUCGGAAGUUAUUGCUGCCAUUUGAAGGGGUUCAGUCUAUAAAGGAGCAAGCAAUCCAAGAUUCAUUUUAUGUGCCAUUUCACUGUAGUGCAUUUAUUGUUAAAAAAUUUUAAUUUAAAAGUUGAAAAAAUGGGAGAAUCAUCAUCGGUUCACCGGUUAUCACUUAAACCGAUCUGCUUAGUGGUUUUCAGCGAUUUUUGUUACAUUCUAUUGAUAACAUAUGACUGGCACGGUUCGCUGUUACACCGAUCAAAUUGGUCGAGCCGGGACCAGUUUUAAUAACAUUUUCACAUAUAUACGUGUACUAAUAGCAGAAAGCAACUUGCUAUUGGGUUAGAGAGAGAGAGAGAGAGAGCGACUCAAAUUUUAGAGAGAGAAACUGGGAUGGGUGGGUGAGCAUUCUAGUUUUAUGUAAGGAAAAAUUGUGAAAGUAAGCAAAAUUUCACAUCGUGAAGUUUUCUCAUUUAAUAAAGUUUUAUUCUCUUAUGAUCAUUAACGGUUUUUCGAACCACAUUAAAUUUUGAGUUUUUCUAUUUUGUGUUCAUUUUUUAUUUCUUAUUUUUGCUGCGUUCGACAAUGUGUAUGGUGGAAUCGUCCCGAUAAAGUGAUAUCAGUGCAUUGAAGAUGAUGGCAAGUGCAAAAUGUUAGAUGGAGCAAUUUAAGAAAGACGUACUACUAUUCAAGUUGUUCUCGUGGAACAAAGAGUUUACAAGGUGUUGGAGGAUAAGAUGUUAGUAGGAACAAAAGAUUCAGAGCGAGAAGAACUAGAAGCAAAGACAGUACAAUUAUACGAGUUGGAGAUGGAUCAGGAUAUCAAUGCUAAGGAUCAUUUGAAUGAGUUUAAUAAGUAUGUCAUAGAGUUGUUAGAUAUUGACAUGAAGAUUGAUUAUGAAGGUAAGGUGAUUAUCUUAAUGUCUUUCUUGCCUAAAUCAUAUGAGAUAUUGGUGUCCAGGCUAUUAGUCGAAAAAUCUACUAUGACAAUACUGACUUCUUUGUCAGAGUCUGGCAAUAUUAAGAAUACAAGUGUGAAUAGCAGUCAAGUUCUCUAGGUGAAAUCUGGAACCAAGCAUAAUAGAGGUGAUUUGUGAGGAAGGAACUACGGUAAAAUGGAGGAGCGUUCUCAAUCUCGAUCCAAGUGAGAGGUGAAGUUUACUAGUGUCAUAAGAAGUGGCACAUACGGAGAAAUGGUCAUGAGUUGAAGAAGUAUCUUAGAGCGUAGAGGAAUCAAUAGUCUGAGGAAGCUUCAGAUUCUACAAACGUGAUAUUUAGUGACUAAUAUCCUGAAGGUGAUGUUAUGUUUAUAGCUGGUUAUGGAAUAUGUUUGUACUAUAUGAUCCCAUAAGGACAUCUAAAGAUUACAAGUCAUGUAAUG